UCCCGGCUAGCUCAGUCGGUAGAGCGUCAGACUUUUAAUCUGAACGUCAUGGGUUCGAGCCCCAUGUCGGGAG
rnacentral:tRNA from 1 species